rnacentral:rRNA from 1 species
AGAGUUUGAUCAUGGCUCAGAACGAACGCUGGCGGCAGGCUUAACACAUGCAAGUCGAGCGCCCCGCAAGGGGGAGCGGCAGACGGGUGAGUAACGCGUGGGAAUCUACCCAUCUCUACGGAACAACUCCGGGAAACUGGAGCUAAUACCGUAUACGUCCUUCGGGAGAAAGAUUUAUCGGAGAUGGAUGAGCCCGCGUUGGAUUAGCUAGUUGGUGGGGUAAUGGCCUACCAAGGCGACGAUCCAUAGCUGGUCUGAGAGGAUGAUCAGCCACACUGGGACUGAGACACGGCCCAGACUCCUACGGGAGGCAGCAGUGGGAAUAUUGGACAAUGGGCGCAAGCCUGAUCCAGCCAUGCCGCGUGAGUGAUGAAGGCCCUAGGGUUGUAAAGCUCUUUCAACGGUGAAGAUAAUGACGGUAACCGUAGAAGAAGCCCCGGCUAACUUCGUG